rnacentral:rRNA from 1 species
ACUUACGGAAGUGGCGCACGGGUGCGUAACGCGUAUGCAACCUACCUUAAUCAGGGGGAUAGCCCGAAGAAAUUCGGAUUAACACCGCAUAAAAACACAGGAUAGCAUUAUCCAAUGUUCAAAUAUUUAUAGGAUUAAGAUGGGCAUGCGUGUCAUUAGCUAGUUGGCGGGGUAACGGCCCACCAAGGCGACGAUGACUAGGGGAUCUGAGAGGAUGACCCCCCACACUGGUACUGAGACACGGACCAGACUCCUACGGGAGGCAGCAGUAAGGAAUAUUGGUCAAUGGAGGCAACUCUGAACCAGCCAUGCCGCGUGCAGGAAGACAGCCCUCUGGGUCGUAAACUGCUUUUAUUCGGGAAUAAACCUAUCUACGUGUAGAUAGCUGAAUGUACCGAAGGAAUAAGGAUCGGCUAACUCCGUGCCAGCAGCCGCGGUAAUACGGAGGAUCCAAGCGUUAUCCGGAUUUAUUGGGUUUAAAGGGUGCGUAGGCGGCUUAUUAAGUCAGGGGUGAAAGACGGUGGCUCAACCAUCGCAGUGCCCUUGAUACUGAUGAGCUUGAAUACACUAGAGGUAGGCGGAAUGUGACAAGUAGCGGUGAAAUGCAUAGAUAUGUCACAGAACACCGAUUGCGAAGGCAGCUUACUAUGGUGUGAUUGACGCUGAGGCACGAAAGCGUGGGGAUCAAACAGGAUUAGAUACCCUGGUAGUCCACGCCCUAAACGAUGAAUACUCGCUGUUAGCGAUACACAGUUAGCGGCUAAGCGAAAGCGUUAAGUAUUCCACCUGGGGAGUACGCUCGCAAGAGUGAAACUCAAAGAAAUUUGACGGA